rnacentral:rRNA from 1 species
UACGUAGGGACCGAGCGUUGUCCGGAUUCAUUGGGCGUAAAGAGCUCGUAGGCGGCUGCUCAAGUCGAAUGUGAAAACUCGAGGCUCAACCUCGAGCCUGCAUUCGAUACUGGGCGGCUAGAGUCUGGUAGGGGGAUCUGGAAUUCCUGGUGUAGCGGUGGAAUGCGCAGAUAUCAGGAAGAACACCGACGGCGAAGGCAGCUCGCUGGGACGGUACUGACGCUGAGGCGCGAAAGCGUGGGGAGCGAACAGG